GAAAUGAUUUUGAGGUGCAUAGAAUGUGUAAAUGUUGUAAUAAACGUGGGUGUUCAAUACAUACGGUGGAAGUUGUGUAAUAGGGAUGUAGGUAGGUCUAAAAUAAUUGAUGGUCCUUACGACAAUUAUGAAAUUGUGGUAGUGAAAUUACAAAUGAAAAGAGUGACUAGAAAAUAAAACAUUUCAUUAAACAUAAGAAAGAUAUGAAAAGUACUGCAAGUUCAUUGAUAUAUGAACGACCAGGAAACGAGACGUUAUACUACAUACUGAAAUGAAAACAAAUAACUAAUCCCUACAAAUAAGUACUACAUGAUAAGGUAAAAUUAGAACGACAACUGAAAGUGUAAGGGUACAACACAUAAAUGGUACUUACAAUAUUAAAAGCUAACGACAACAGUAUUGAAAUUUAAAAUCUAGAAUGAACGCCUUGUGCGAGCAUAGUACUGGACAUCAUCUUCAUUUACAAAUCUUUGUUGAAUCAUAACAUCAAUAAUAUGAUGAGUAUUGAAUUGAUUUUGAGGUGCAUAGAAUGAGUAAAUGUUAUAAUAAACGCGGGUGUUCAAUACAUACCGUGGAAGUUGUGGAAUAGGGAUGAAGAUAGGUCUAAAAUGUGUUGUAAGAAAAAUGUUGUCAUGAAACGUACUUGAGAAUGUUUGGUUUUUAUAUUGGAUUUGAUUUUCAUAAAAAUAUUAUAAUAUUCAUUGGCAUGGUUGCGAAUAUUGUUGUUCACGGAUUGAACUGUAUGAGAGGAGAUGGGCAACGGAAGUGUCGUUAGGGUUUGGGGAGGACGGGGAAAAUUGUACAUCAUUGUAGUAGGUUGUGGAAUGAAUCCCUAAAUCACUUCCUCCGACAAGUCGAACAAGGCCUGUGAAAAAGUGACGGAGUCUUCGGAUGAACAAUGGCCAUCUACAACAUGACAUUCAGAAGCCCCAUGGGUACGGCGUCGGGGUUCCAGGAGAGGUUGGAAAUGGAAGAAUCCGACUCCGACGACCAUGAAUACUCGGGUACUUUCUCCUCAUCAUCGGACACAAUAAUGAUAAGCGGAGCAACCAUUUUUUGACGAGGUUUAGAAGAAAGGAGAAAUGGUGGAUGAAGAUAAAGAAAACUGACCUCCGUUGUUUUUAUAGAAGAUGAUGUAGACAAUGUAGUUCUUGAUGUAGUAUUACUGAUGCAGGAGUUAUCGUAUUCGGCGGAUGUCAGAGUAGGGAAAGACAUCCCCUACAUAGGUCGGUUGUCAUGAUGAUUGACAACCGGACCUCAUUCAAAAAAUAAAAGUAAAAACUUCAGACAAAGAACUAACCUUGGAGAUGACUAGAUGAAGAAGAUUGAAAGAAAAUAGAUAAGAAUGAAUGAAAUAGAAGAGAAAUGAAGAUAUAGGAAAACCAAAUCCGCCGUGCACGAUUUUUUGUUGUUGCAGUUUAACAUCAGAAACAGUGGGCGUAUGAUGCAC
rnacentral:lncRNA from 1 species